rnacentral:siRNA from 1 species
UCGGCUUCAGACGUCCUGUGU